rnacentral:misc_RNA from 1 species
UCGUAACAAGGUCUCCGUAGGUGAACCUGCGGAGGGAUCAUUACAAGAACGCCCGGGCUUCGGCCUGGUUAUUCAUAACCCUUUGUUGUCCGACUCUGUUGCCUCCGGGGCGACCCUGCCUUCGGGCGGGGGCUCCGGGUGGACACUUCAAACUCUUGCGUAACUUUGCAGUCUGAGUAAACUUAAUUAAUAAAUUAAAACUUUUAACAACGGAUCUCUUGGUUCUGGCAUCGAUGAAGAACGCAGCGAAAUGCGAUAAGUAAUGUGAAUUGCAGAAUUCAGUGAAUCAUCGAAUCUUUGAACGCACAUUGCGCCCCCUGGUAUUCCGGGGGGCAUGCCUGUUCGAGCGUCAUUUCACCACUCAAGCCUCGCUUGGUAUUGGGCAACGCGGUCCGCCGCGUGCCUCAAAUCGUCCGGCUGGGUCUUCUGUCCCCUAAGCGUUGUGGAAACUAUUCGCUAAAGGGUGUUCGGGAGGCUACGCCGUAAAACAACCCCAUUUCUAAGGUUGACCUCGGAUCAGGUAGGGAUACCCGCUGAACCUAAGCAUAUC